GGCCCGCGCCUUUCCCUUCCGAGACGUAAUUGCCGUUACCUCUCCUCUGGCGUAAGUAAAUACGACUUGUCAUGGAUCCUAAACCAUGGCAUGUAUUCUGGAACACACGCUAACUCCGGAACGAUAUUGCUUCUCGAGUAGGUAGAUAUUCAUGCCGAUUUUCCCACAUUUCCGUGUACUCGGACCAGUAUCUAGGCCAAUCCGUACCUAAUAGCUGAAGGUCGAUUUUAUAGUGCUCGUCAAACUCCUCAGGGUCCGCAGGAAUCGGUUGUCUACAUCCAAACUGUCGUAGCACUCUGUCUGUCUGAUGGGGCACCACGGUUGCAUAGUUGAUCAACACCACUUUCACGUGCCAAGCGUUCGGAUUUUGUAAAAACUCUUCCAGGAUUACUGCCCGAAUUGCUGGAUCCUCGUAUGGUGUCCAUUGAAACUAUAUGAACAUGAUAGAAAUAUUAGUUAUAUACAUAAUACUAAAUACUAAAUACUAAAUAUCAAUCGACUAGCGAAUGUAUGGAAAUUUCUAUUUGCAAUAACACUUACUUCUGCUUCCGACCGUUGGUCCAAUAGAAGCCGUAUAUCUUCAAGUUCAGACGGUAAUCCACGAAAACUUGCCGGAUGGCUCCACCUAAUUAAAUAAUUUUUUAGCAUACUUUUAUUCUUACAAAAUCUACAUAAUACUUCAAAAAUGUAAUAUAAAAUUUACCUUGUUACAAGUGAGAAUGUAUAUGGGUGGUUCACUCGAGGACGUAGAAAUGGAAAGCGAAACCGUGCCUAUGAUUGCAGUAGUGACAGGCAACCUCCGAUGUUUGCUCUCCUCGGUCGCGUCGCCCCGCACAUCUCACGAUAUAAUGUUGCCAAGACGGCAGACCCCCAACUAAAUUCACCGGCUCCUCUAAAAUCAACGAGUUCUAGCAGCCACCUUAGAUGUACACGGCUCCUAGCACACCUCCAAUUAUUUGAAGAAUGUAUGAUCGAGCAUAUCGAAUUCUUUGGAUUUCAGUUGAAUUUACAUUCGGCUCGGGAAAGGUGGCACGUAACCAGCCCAUCUCGACCUUACCUCCAUCCAUUUUUUCUGGAAUAGCGCCCAAAAGCUCGUAGCACACCGCCUCCCAAUUGCUAGAUUGAGCAGACCCGGUGACUGGGUGCCCGUCCACCGGCAAUCCCAAAUGCAUGCUGACAUCUUCUAGAGUGAUAGUGCACUCUCCACAUGGAAGAUGAAAUGUGUGCGUCUCGGGUCUCCACCUCUUGAUCAACGCACUAAUCAGUUUCGAGUCCAACUUGAAUCCCCGGCCUACCGCCGCCACGUGCCAAAAACCCGCUUCCCGCAGGUAGUUCUCUACUAACAGUGAUGGAGGAGCAUGCAUAUUCCGGAUAUGGCAUGCCAAUACCCGAUCUUCAGACUUUUAUAACAAACAAUAAAUUAAUAAUUAUCUAAAAAUACAUAAAUAAAAAAAUCUUAAAUAAUAAUUACAAAUUAAAUUUAAUACUUACCAUUUUCAUUUGCUCCACCGAUAUGUGAUUGCUAUCAAGACGAGUCAAUGAUCCGGCCAUUAAUGAAAAUAUAAAAAAAUUUAAAAUUAUUUUUAAAAAAUAUAAAAAAAAAUUAUAAUUAUUUUAAAAAUGAAUUUUAGAGAAUUUUGGAAGGAAAUUAAAAUUAAAUAUGGGUUUGAGAGAAUUUUGGAAGGAAAUUGAGAGAAUUUUGGAAGGAAAUUGAGAGGAUUAGAGAGGAAAAAUUAGAUAGGAUUUGUUUGUGAAAAAAAAUAAAGGGGUGGGGGUAUUUAUAUUUUUUUUUGACCGUUGGGGGGGCAACGGUUAAAUUUUUGACCGUUGGGGUACUGUUCACACGCGGAGAAGGUCGCGUCCACAUCAUCAGGUUGCGCUGACGUGGACGCGACCUUCUGCCAUGUACCCUGACAUCGCGCUAACGUGGGCGCGAUUUCCCGAAAAAUGGACCAUUCUGGUAAAUAAUCAAAAAAUCGGCCCAUUUUAAUAAAUUUUGAAAAAAAAAGGGCUUUUUCUGGUAAAUUGCCCGCUCUUAUCAUUACUUUUUACUUUUUUUUAUUUUCAGUAAUUCACAUUAAGGGCUUUAAUUAAUAAAAUUUAGAACGGUAUAUCAAUUAUAAUAAGUAAAAUAAAAAUUUAUAUUUUGAUUAAUAAAUUUUAGAACAAUAUAUCAAUUAUAAUAAACUAAGGGAUUGGCUUCUCCCUGGUUGUAAAUAUAAAUGUGCUCUUUUUUGGUUUCAUUAGUAAUCAGUUUAUUUGGUUUGGUUUUCAUUAGCCAUUAGCAACUUUUGUAAUACAAGUUAUUGAGGAUAGCCUACUGUAAUGAGUUUCCUAUUUAUUUUAUCUUUAUUUUUCCUAAGACAAUUCUGGAUCUAAAUAAAAAAAAUUCUACUUAUUAUACAAAAUUAUCUGAAAUAAUAUACAUUAAAUAAAAAAAAAGGAAUACUGAAAAUAUAUAUAUAGAUAUGUAUAUAUCUAUAUUACUAUAUAUAAUUUAAUCUACAUAAAAUAAAAAAAUAAAAGGAAAUAAAUAAAAAAAUAGAAUUUAAUGUACAUUAAAUUCAGUCAACUAUCGCACUGUUCCAGUACCCAUUCAUUAUAUUAGAUUGAUCUUAUACAUGGGUGUAAUUGAAUGUUGCUUAGGUUGAUUCUAUAUGUAAAUUAGUCAUAACUAUGUUAUUAUGUGUUUUCGUGAACUAUAUAUAUUCUGAUUUUCUUUUUGGCACACAUAUAUAGUGUUUUAAAUUAAACAAACAGGGACCUUCUACAUGAGAACAAAAUACAUACAAAAGCUUUUUGAUGUCAUACAAAUUGUGGUGAAUACAUUGCCUAUGGUAUACCAUAAAUAUAUUUUGGUUAAUUCUUUGAUGAUAUCUAAUUGAGUGUUUAUGUACAGAUAGCAUACAUCAAAGCUCAAGGGACACCUAUGGUUCAAACAAGAAGAUUUGUAGUUUUAACCUCUUUGUGCCUCAACACAUGUUUAUAUUUUGUAAACACUUUGUCAUAUUUUAUUUCUUGUUAUAUGUCAACUUUAUUAUCCAUGUGAGUUAUAUUUAAUAAUAUAAAAAAUUGCAAUUUCUUUUAAUUUGAUCAUAAAUAAAUUUUAGAUACAUUUUAUAAUUCUUUUACAUUUACAAUUAUAGCUAUCAAUUUUUAAAAAAAAAACUGAACCAGACCUUUAUUCAUGGUUAUAAAACCGUCAGUAUAGGUCAACGAUGGAAACUGAAAAUUUUAAAUAUAUACAGACGGAUAAUCCGUUGAAAAAUGUACACCCAAUGGUUAUGAUAGCAUCUUGACAGUGCUUUAGUGACGGAGACAUUUGUCAAUAGGAUGAAAGCCAUUUCUCAACGGUUUAACGCCGUAAGUAAAAGUUUAUACAAAUGAUGUUUCUAUCGACUGCCAGAUGUUCGUCAAAACAUCCCUCUCUCCCGUCAGUAUAGGAUCUGAAGUGCUAUACUGACUCAUUUUUUUACUUUACCAAUGAUUUCCAUGUUAGUAAAUGAGAUUCUUUUGUAGUGAAUCUCACCAAUCAACUAUAAGAUAAGAUAAACAAUAGUAAUAAUAAUAAUAAUAAUAAUAAUAAUAAAUAACGUAAAUACGGACUCUUAAUAGGUCAACAAAUAGAAUCACAAUCUAAACUAAAAUUCAUGAUCUAAGGGAUUGACUUGGGUAAUCUAAUCCAAUUCAAUCUCCAAUAUAUUAUUCCCGAAGUUAGGGUGUGCAAAAAAAAAUUCCAAACCAAACUGAAUCAAACCGAAAUAAUUGAAUUUUUUUCAAUUUAUUCAAUUUUUUAAUUUAUUCAAUUUUUCAUUUAAUCUAUUUUCAUGCUCAGUUUAUUCGAUAGGUUUCCGAUUUUGAAUUUUUAAAUCGAAUAAACCAAUUAAGUCAUAACCCAUAAGACCAUAAGCCCAUAAUCCAUUUACAUACCCAAACCAAAAUUUAAACAUUAAACCUAAAUACCCAUUAAAACUUAAUACUCUUAAAAGCCCAAACUAUUAAAAUUUAAAACCCAAUUUGAUAAUUUAAAUUUUUUUUAUGAUAUUCAUUUUAAUUUCUAUCAUUUAAUAUAUAAAAAAUCCAAAUUAAUAUAUACUCGUUACAAUAGUAGAAGACAUGGAAAUUGUAUGUUGGAUUGUUGGCCAUGUUAGAAUAUAAAUAUUUUUUUUAGUUCAUUAAAAAUUGUUUGAUUUAAUUUUUAAUAUUUUUAUAAUGAAAUUAAAAUUAAAAUAAAAAUAAUAAAAUAUACUAAAUUGAAGAAAGAAGACAAUUUUGUGAAAAUUUUAAAGGAAAUAAAAUUAUAAGUACCUCAAUUAGAAUUUUUUCUAACUAAGAAAAAAAAAUAAACUGAACCAAACCAAACCAAAAGUUUUCAGUUUGAUUUAUCUGGUUUUUCUCUCUAAGUCGGUUAAAUUUAUUUGAUUUACAUGAAUAAUUCGGUUUAUUCAAUUUUUAGCAUAAAAAAUUGAACUAGCCAAGUGCACACUGCCACCCCACGUGAUAUGGCCUUUCAUAAUUAGUUAAAUAUCAUCCAUAUAAUCAGAAUAACCCAUAAAAGUCAUUCAAUAAAUUACCAACACAUUAAAUAUGAAAAUUGUCUCGUACAAAUUUGGUGAUCAAGUAGUGGGUACUCCCUCCGAUACUAAAUGACUAAUUUCAUAUUUUUCUAAUACUUAUUAUGUUAAUUAAAAAUUUAUAUUAUGGUUGUUGUUAUGUUUUUUUGUUCAUCAUAAUUAUUUACAAACGUCAAUGUAAUGAAUAUUACUGUAAUUAUUUCUUAAAAAAAUAUUAUUGUAAUUAUUGUUGUUAUUAAUUUUUUAUUUUAUAUCAUUAUUUUAGACAUAAUGAUAAAUUUAGUCUUUCAUAUUUAUAUUUUUUAUUAAUUUGGUUUUUAUAUAUUUUUAAUUAAAUUAGACUGCCAACGUUUUAAAGAGUUUAAUUUGAUCAUCAAUAUUUAAAAAAAAAACUUGGUUUUUUUAAAACAAAAAUACUAAUUAAAAUAUUAAAUUUUUAAUUAUGGUAGUUCGAGUGGAAAUCCAUGUGUACUUCUUUUUUUUAAUUUUUAUGAACUUUUUAUAAUUUUUAAUGAAUUUUGAUUUUUUAAAUAUUUUUUGAAUUUUUAAAUUAUUUGAUGAUAUGACAUAUAAGACUAAUAAUAUCAUAUCAGCAUGAAUGCACGUGAAUUGUCACGAAUUUCAUUAAGUAAUUAAUGUUUUAAUCAACAUUUUUAUUAAAAAAACGAUUUGAUUAUUUUUAAAAUGUCAACCGUCAACUUUGGUUUUGUUUAAAAAUAAAUAAAUUAUCAACUGCAAAUAUUGAAAACUAAAUUUAUUAUUAUGUCUUUAUUUUAAAAUAAAAUAAUUACAUUUUCUCAAACAUUAUCUUUGGGGGUGUCAACAACAAAGGGCUUAACUUUCUUAUGUUGUUGAUUUAGAAAGACCUAUAAGGGUUAAUACUAGUUUUAAUAUUUUUAUCAAUCAAUAUUAUUAGAGGAGAAUGAGAUGACAUGGUUUCAACCUGGCCAUACAUCUUUUUUAAAUAUACAAUUAUAAAAUAUUCAAUCUCUUAAAUACUAAUAAUAUAAUUUGGGCACAAAAUAUAGGAGAGAGUGGGACUAGAGGUGCUGGCCAGACUGGCCCAACCAAAAAUUUAGGCACAUUUGUUAGGUUUGGGCCCAGUCCAAUUUAAAAAAUAGACUUAAAAUUUUGUUUAAGCCCAACUCACCCGUAUUAAUUUUUUAUAUAAUUUUUAAAUAUAUAUAAUACAUCAAAUAUAUUAAAAAUAUUAAAAUAAAUAUUUUUCAACAAAUUAAAAAUAAAUUUUUAAAAAUAUGUAUACUUAAAAUAACACUAAGAUAGGUGCAACUUAACAAACAAAUGAUACUAAAAUAAUAACAAAAUUAACAAUAAAACAAGUGUUAUACAAUAUCAAACAAUAACAACAAAAUAGUAGUAAUAUAAUAGUGAAAUGGUAGGAAAGUAGGGAGAAAAAAAUAAGAAAAUAACAUUAAAACAACAAAAAAAUAAUAGUUUUUUGUCCUUUUGUGAAUUCAGGUUGGCCCGGGCUUGGGCCCGGGACAAAAAUGCCUUACUCAAGACCCGAUCCAUUUUUUAAACGAGCCUUAUUUUUUGCCCAAACCUAUUUUUGAGCCUAUAUUUUUGCCCAAACUCUUUCACUUUUCAGACGAGUCUUCGGGAAGGGAUGGAUGACCCGGCUCAUAAGCAAGUCUAAGAGAGACGGUCGGACAUAAAAUAUAGCGAGGUUGGUUGAAUAUCCAUUAGGCUUUUUGGGUCUAUGAGGGAACUUUAAACCAAACAACUGCUUGGGUGUAUGAGGCUUUUUGGAACCGUCGGACAUAAGUGUGACUUCUUGGCCCUUUAAACCCAACAACUCCUUUCUUUUAAGUCCAAUAAGCCCACUUCCAAUUUUCUAAUAAACUCGGACAUGAUAUGAUUUUGCUUAACCAACAUAAACAAAAUAUACAUGUACCAAAAAAAAAAAACCAAAAGGAUUUAAAUUCGUUAGUAAAAAAUCAAUUGAAUCUGAAACAACAUUCAAUUAAACCCUUAUGAGAGAAAAAGAAAUUAAUUACAUCAUUUUGUUAAUGAAAAUCAUUAGUUAACCGAUUUGAUCAUUAAUGACGGUAAUGUGUCUAACAAGAUUAAUGCAUGGCACGUCAUAUAGACAAACAACUGACAUGACAUAUAUGCCAAUCGAAUAUUAACUUGAUUGACAUCAAUAUUGUUGUCAAUAUAAAAAAUAUUAAAAAUAUAUAAAAAUCCAAAAAAAAUAAAGAAAUUACUAUUUUACAUGUUCAUAAUGAACCAAGACAUGUGUGCUCAGGUUCAAAUGAACAUGAACAUACAUUUGUUUAGAUUUAUUGUAGAUGCAAAUUUCGAAUAUUAUGAAAAUUAUUAAAAAUUUGUUAAAAUAUUAAAAAUGGUAAAAAUAAUAUAAAUAAUUAGAGAAGGGUAAAAAUAAUUGUACAUUCUGAUUAUUGUAAAACUAGAAAUGAAACAAAGAAAUGCAUAAAUUUAAGGAAAAUGAGUAAGAUGUAUUUAGUAUAAGAAUUACUAUAUAUGGGGCAUAUGAACUUGCAACUUGUACUUAUUUUGUACUUCAAAUUUUUUUUUGGACUUAACUGGUAUUGAAUUUUAGAAAUUGUAAGUCAACUUGGUACAUUUUUUAAGUACCGAACUAACACUAUUAAAACACGCUAAUGUGGCAUUGAUGACCAAUAGCAUGGUAACAUGUGGUAGCCUCAUAUUUUUACAUGUGGAAAAAAAUAAAAAAAUUAUAAUUUUAUUUUUUUACCUUGUGUCAAAAUGUGAGGCUAUCACAUGUCACCAUGCUAUUUGUUGUUUAUGCCACAUUAGCGCAUUUAAACAAUAUUAAUCAUGUACCUAAAAAUGUACCAAGUUGUCUUCGGUUUUCAAGUUUAGAUACCAAUUAGGUCAAAAAAAAAGUUUAUAUACCAAAAAGGUAUAAGUUACCAACUUCAGAUACCUCCGUAUAUAUUAACCCUUAGUAAUAUAUAAUUAGUGUAAGAAAAAUAUAAUAUUGUAUGUCGUAUUAAUAUUUCAGUAACAAUAAUAAUGCAAUAUAAUGUAGCAGCAGUAACACAAUAGAAUAUCUGUAAUCGGACAAAGUUGAAAAUUAGAAGAAGAAUUUUGUUGGAGCCUGUAUGAACAGUUUCCUUAAGACAGAUUCGACAUCUCCUCUGUGCUUUGAGUAACGUUGGAUGUUUAUCUCCUAAGAUACAACAACAAAUGAUCACAGUAGUACCACAACAACAGUGAUCAAUCAAACACAAUCUUGCCUUUCUCUAUCAUCAGGAGGAAUAAAUUUAGAAGGAAUUUUUUAUAUUGAUGAUUUUUUAUGAUGUGUUUUGGAAGUCUCCUAACUUGGCUUUAUAUAGAGGAGAGGAAAUAAAUGAAGAGAUUUAGACCAAUUCAUGAAGAGUUUUGUUGAAAAGUUAAUAGAUAUAAGUGAACAGACACAAUGAAAGAAAAGAUGUAAUAUUAAACCAAAAGCAAUGAAUCUGUUCACCAAGAGAUACAAUUGUUCAAAAGAUACAACUGUUCAUCAAGUGAAAAAAAUAUUAUUUAAUUUGAGCAUCAAUUUAUCAUUCAUCACUCAAAAAUUUUGAGCAUAUUAUAUAGAAUAUAAAUCCAUAAUUUACUAUUCAAACCUUCAAUUUUAUCAAUAAAAUAAUAUGCCUCAAAGUUUUAAAAUAUCCAUCAUUUUCCAACAAUCCCCCACAUGAAUGAAAUUGAUGAAUCAACGAGACUCAAAGACUCAAAGAGGUGAUAGAUUCUACAUCUGAUAUUUGCAUAGGAUAGGUAGGCAUCAACCUUUGAACCUUCCCUUGUGAAAGUAUAUUUACUUUACUAGCUGACCAGUAGACGUGAUGUCCUUGAACUGUUCUGCUGUUUAUGUAAACGAUGAUAUACCUCAAGCAAAUACCUCUCUGGCAAGAUUUUGGUUCUCAUGGGCAUGUUCAUAUGGUUGUGAACAUCCUCCUGAUUCUGCAAGAGUUUAGAAAACUAUGCCCUGAUAGUCUCCUUGAAGCAGCUCCACUUCACUCUCAUAUAGGUGAUUUAUGUUGUUUGUUUCAUCGAAACACACAAUGGUCAUUAAAAGUAUUGCUUAACCUUUUCCACAUUUAAUCACUAUUUUCAUCAUAAGAAUGGACUUGGGAUAAGAACCCCCACAAUGACCUCACAAGGUCUGUGCAAGUAGGUUGUCCCAUUGAACCAGAUUUUGGGAUCUCUAGUCAACUAGGUUGGGUUUUCCUUCACAUAGCACCUUAAAUAUUCAUGGGCUUUAGUCUCAUUCCUUUCAAUGUUUUAUCAACUUGAUCUCGGUUUAACCCUUUGGCUAGUGGACCGCAGUGUUAUCUUUUGAUCUUACAAAAUUAAUAGAGAUAACUCUAGUUGAGAUUAGUUGUCUAAUGGUAUUAUGCCGACGACGCAUGUGUCUCAACUUGCCAUUAUACGUUAUGUUUUGUGUUCUACCAAUUGUUGCUUGGUUAUCACAAUAUAUGUUUAUAGUGGGUAUAAGUUUUAACCAUUCAAGCAUAUCCUCUAAAAAAUUUCGUAGCCAUUCUGUCUCUUCUUCAGAUUUGUCUAAAGCUACAAACUCAGAUUCCAUUGUGGAUCUGGGUAUAAUCGUUUACCUUGAGGAUUUCCAUGAAACAACUCAUCCUCCCAAUGUGAAAAUAUAACCACUUGUGCCUUUGGUAUCUUGAAUAUCAAAUAUCCAACUGGCAUUGGAGAAUCCUUCUAACAUAGUAGGAUCUAUGGAAUAAUGUAAUUCAUAGUUCCAAGUAUAUCUGAGAUAUCUUAGUACUCUCACAAUCACUUUCUAAUGAUUCUCUCCUGGAUUGCUUGUGAAAAUGCUUAAACUGCUUACAGUGAAAGUAGUAUAAGGUCUAGUGCAACUCAUAAGGUACAUUAGAUUGCCUAUGACUCUUGCAUAUUCCACUUGAUCAACACUUUCACCUUUAUUUUUGGACAGAUGUUAACUUAUAUCUAUCGAAGUUCUGGCUACACCAAAAUCAUCCUUGCCAAAUUUCUUGAGAAUCUUGGCUAUGUAGUGUGAUUGAGUCAAUAUGAGACCUUUAGAUGACCUUUUGAUUUGGAUGCCCAAAAUCAUGUCAAACAAGUCUCAUAUCUUUCAUGUCAAAUCUUGAAUUUAACAAGUUUUUGGUACGUUUUACCAUUUCAUUGUUACUUCCAACAAUGAGUAUGUUGUCAACAAAUAAACAUAGAAAUACAUAUCCAUCAACAGAGGUUUUGACAUACACACAUUUGUCACACUCAUUAAUUUUAAAUCCAUUUCAUAUCAUGACACUGUCAAACUUUUCAUGCCACUGCUUUGAUACUUGCUUAAGUUCAUACAAAGACUUCACCAAUCUACAGACUUUUCUUUCUUGCCCUGAAGCUAUAUGACCCUAAGGUUGUUCCAUGUAAAUCUCUUCAUCAAGAUCUCCAUUUAGAAAAGUUAUCUUAACAUCCAUUUGAUGAACUUCUAGAUUCCGCAAAGCGACAAUAGCAAGUAUCAUCCUUAUAGAAGUUAUUCUUGAUACAUGAGAACAUGUAUCAAAGUAAUCAAGGCCUUCAUUUUAUCUAUAACCUUUUAUAACCAAUUUGGCCUUGUACUUAUCAAUUGUUCCAUCUGCUUUCAUUUUUCGUUUGAAAAUCUUUUUAGAAUUUAGUGGUUUAAUUCCCUAAUGUAGAUCCACUAAUUCCCACGUAUGAUUUUUCAUGAUGAAAUCAAUUUCACUCUUGAUAACAUCUUUCCAAAACGUGCUUUCAGAUGAUCGUAUCUUCACUAUAAGUUUGAGGGUUAGUCUCUAGCAUAUAGGUUAGAAAAUCCAAUCCAAAGGACUUUUCCACCCUUGCCCUUUUUACUUCUUUUUGGCUUUGCCUCGACUUCAACCUCUUGUUGAAAGUCUUAACUAUCAAUAGUCUCUAAAGUUCAUUUUGUUGAACUUGACCUAACUUCCCUAGUCUUAUAAGAAAAUAUAUUUUCAAAGAAUGAGGCAUUUUUAGAUUAAAAUAUCAUAUUCUUGUGAAUUUCAAAAUUCUUUUAUUCAUGCACAAGAAACCGGUAUGCAUUGUUGUGGCAUGCAUAACCAAUGAAAUUACAAUCCACCGUUUUAGGACCUAUUUUCAUUUGCUUCGGUAAAGGAACUAUUACCUUUGUAAGAUACCCCCACACUUUCAAGUAGUUGUAGGAAGGUUUCCUGCCCUUCCAUAACUCAUAUGGUGUCUUGUCCUUUUUUUUGUGGGACACCUUAUUUAAAAGGUAAUCUGUUGAUAAAAUAGCUUUCCCCCACAUGUUAUCUGACAACCCAGAACUUCUUAGCAUUGCGUUCAUCAUUUCCUUUAUGGUUCGAUUUUUUCGUUCCAUUACUCCAUUGGAUUGAGGGGAGUAUGGUGGUGUCACUUCAUGAAUAAUAUCAUGUUGUGCACAAAAUUUACCAAAUGGUUCAACAUAUUCACCACCAUGGCCACUUCUUACCCUCUUAAUUCUUUUAUUAAGUUGGGUUUCAACUUCCUGCUUAUAGAGAACAAAUUUCACUAUAGCUUCAUCUUUGCGUUUAAGCAAAUAUACAUAGCAAUAUUUUGUGCUAUCAUCAAUGAAGGUAAUAAAAUAUUUAUUCCCUCCUCUAGUUUGAAUAAACUUUAAGUCAAAAAUAUAACUAUGUAUUAGAUCAAGUGGUUUAGUAUUUUUUUCAACAUAUUGAAAUGAAGACCUUGUUAGUUUUGCCUCAACACAUGUUUCACAUUUAUAAUUAUAAUUAAUGUGAAAUGAAGGAAUGUGCUCUAAGUUAAUUAAUCUACGUAAAGUAUAAAAAUUAACAUGUCUGAACCAACCAUGUCAUAAAUCAAAUGACUCAAGAAUAUAAAUAGAAGAAGAAACAUCAUUCUUAUUCAUAGUAUUAGCUUUUACAGAUAUAGCAUUGAGUUUCCAAAUAUCAUUUAAUACAUAUCCCCUUUCCACAAACGUUCCCCCUUUUGACAAAACUAACUUUUUGGAUUUAAUAUCAUCUUAAAGCCAUGCAUACUUAGGAGGGUCCCAAAGACAAGGUUCUUGCAUAUGUCAGGCACAUACAACACAUUUUGAAGUUUCAACUUUUUGUCAGAAGUCAUCUUCAAAAUCACAGUGCUUUUCCCCUUGAUAUUGGAAGUUGCAACAUUGCCCAUGUAAAGCUUCUCGUCUUUCUUACAAGCAGCCAACUCAACAAAAGAGUCCUUGUCACAACCAAUAUGACGUGUGGCACCAGUAUCAAGCCACCAUUCUCUUGGAUUUGAAUCAACCAAGUUGACUUCAAAAAUUACAACGUAGAGUUCAAGAUCAGAUACCUCCUUAGAAAUAUUUUCCACAGCGUUGGCCUCGUUUAUUUUGACCCUUUUUGGAAUCCUACAAUUGGAUGACUUGUGUCCCAUCUUAUUGCAAUUAAAGCAUUUUCCUUGGAAUUUUGGCUUUUUGAAGACACCACCUUUUGGUCCUAGUUUAGACCCAAUCUGAUAAUGUUUUCUUUUCUUGGAGUCCUUCUUGACUUCUACUACGUUUGCCUUGACAAAGUUAGGAUUGGUUUCUUUGCUUAUCUUUUUAGUCACAACUCGAUUGUCUUCUUCAAUUCAAAGUCUGACAAUUAGAUCUUCCACUGCCAUUUCCUUAAUUUUAUAAUUAAGACAAUUCUUGAAGUCAUUCCAAAUAGGGGGAAGUUUUUCAAUAAUGGCUGCCACUUGAAAGGAUUCACUUAUAACCAUCUUUCAUGCGAGAAUACCAUGAAUGAUCAGUUGGAAUUCCUACAUGUGAUUUACAACAGCUUUAGAAUCAACCAUUACAAAGUUCAAGAACUUAGGAACUAAGAAUUUCUUAGCACCAGCAUCUUCAGUUUCGUAUUUAUGGUCCAACUAUUACCAUAAUUCCUUAUUCAUUUUCUUGAUACUUUAUACUUCAUAAAUUUCAUCAGAUAAACCGUUCAAAAUGUAACAGCCUAAUUUUAGGGUUAGUCAGAACAGUGGUUUUGGGACCACAAUCUGAGGUAAAAAUAAUUAUUUUAUUAUUUUAUUAAUUUUUACUGUAUGAUAGAAUGUUUGUGUGAAAAUUUCGUAAAGAAAUUUUACCGUUUGAGUGGUUAAUUCAAUAAAAAGGAUUAAAUCGCGUAAAACGUAAAACUUGUGUUCUAUUAGCUAAAAGUGUCAAAUAGCUAUAGAACAUUAAAGUAAAGGUCCUUAUGUGAUAAUUAAUCCAAUUUUGAGUUAGUGGAUGAUAUUUUGUUUGGCAUUUGUGUAAAUUUGAUUAAUUUUAAAGGUUAAUUUAGUAAAAAGGUAAAUAAUGAUAAUAAAUAAAAUAAAACCAAAUUUCAUCUUUCUAUUCAUCAUCUUCCACCGAAAAUGAGAAUGACGAACAGCUAUGGAAGUUUCAAUAUUCGGCCAAGUUUUUUGCUUUAUUUGGUGAGUCGUUUUUGCUUAGUUUUUAAUAAUUUCUACGUUUUUGAGAUCGUUGCUUCGUAAUCUAGCUAGCCCGUACCUCCGAUUUCAAAAAUAUUAAAGAUUUUGAUAGUUUCCAUUGUUGAAUUCAUGUGUUAAUUGAUGUUUGAUGAUGAAAUAUGAAAUUUUGAUGAUAGUUUUACAUGUUUGGUAAAGUGAUUUUGAGUAAAAAUGUCAAUUUUGGACUAAAUUGAGAAAAAUAAUAAAUCGUGUGGUAAAAGUGUGAAUAAAUGAAAAAUAUGGGCUAUUAUGGCAAUAAUAAAAAAUUUUAUAGCUUGGUUUUGUGUUUAAUUUCAUGAAAUUGUGCUUUUAUGUGAUAAGGACUAAAUUGCAAAAAUGUGAAAGUAUAGGGGUAAAAGUGUAAAAUUUCCCUAAUGUGUAAAUUGUGUUAAACUGAGUGAAUUAGUGAUUAAAUAAGUAAAUUUUGUUAUUAUAUAGAUUGAGAAAAACAAGAUUUGGACCUAGAAAUAGGAGAAAAACUACGUAUUGGAUUAGUCAACCUAAUUCGUCGUUUUAACAAACGAGGUAAGUUCAUAUGUUAAAUAAUGUUUUUAAAUUGUGCUGUAAAUGUUCAUUUAUCAUUGAAUUGAAUUGAAUGUUGAUUGGAUGAGUACGAGCAUGAAUCGACAAAGUUACAACAUCCGAAAGUCCCGUACGAACAUUAGGAAUAGCUUAGGAUACUGGGAUGUGAUUACGUGUAAGACCAUGUAUGGGACAUUGUUAUCGUCAUGUGAUUCGUGUAAGACAAUGUCUGGGACAUUGGCAUCGAUAUGAGAUUCGAGUAAGACCAUGUCUGGGACAUUGGCAUCGAUAUGAGAUUCGUGUAAGACCAUAGCUAACUAUUAGCAUCGAUAUAUGAUAGCAUGUAAGAUCAUAUCUAGGAUAUGGCAUUGUACGAGUUAUACGAGAUUUCUGAGUAUCCUUAGCAAUUUCGAAUGGUUUAACGGGCAAAGUCAAAACGAGAAUAAAAGUGUAAACGAAAUAAGUGGUACAGGUACGUACGAUACUUAUACAUAUAUUGAAUGAAAGAAGAUUGAUAAAUAGAUGGGAGCUCGUGUGUAUUACAUGGAAAGGUUUAAGUUUAUAUAAGUGUUUGAUUUAUAUAAAUGCUUAUUGAGGGUAUCGAAUUUCACAUGAUGAGUAAGUGGACAAUUAUGAGAAAUCCAUAUGGUUAUAUUGAUUAUGAAUAUGUAAUGAAUAUUGGAUUGAAUGUGGGAUAUCUUAAAUUGCUUAUGCAUAUGUAAAUGUGAAUAAAUUGGUGAGAAUAUAUUAGAUCUAUAUGAACAUGGAAAUGAAUAAGCUUGUGAGACCCCUGGUUAGCUAUGGUAUGGAUUCAUGGUAUAACAGUGAAAGCAAAUGAGUAAAAUUGUAAUUUGUAAAUACUUAAUAUGUGUUAUUUGAUAAGUUGAGUAUAUUAUCAUACGAGCUUACUAAGUUGUAUAGCUUACUUUGUUUUCUUUCCUAUGUUUAUAGUGUUUCGGAGGCUUGCUCGGGUUGGAAGUCGUCGGAGAUUUCAUCACAUCAUCCAGCUAUCAUUUCGGUAUUUCAAAAGCUUUGUGAUUUUGGUUAUGUGACAUGUAUAAUCUAGUUGGUUUAUGAAGUGUAUAAGUGACCUUUGGCUAUUUAUGCAUAUGUGUUUGAUAUGUUUUUAGCCAUGAGAUUUGACUUAAUAAUGAUGUAAAGUUUAAUGUGUAUAAGCUAUGUUCAUAUUAGUUUGGCAUGGAAAUUUCCUUGUGAAAUGGUAUAUCUUGGUAUGUUUGAUUAUGGUUCAAAUAGCUCAAUAAACAUUUGGUAAGCGAUAUGUAUAUGUUUGGUUAUUUGUGGCUUGAUCAUGAAUGCAAAUCUAAUGGCAAUGUGGCUUAAGAAAUGGUAUGUUUAAAUAUGAAUUUGAAAUGAUACUUUGGUAUGACUUGGUUUGGUUUUAGAUUGAAUGAUUUGGUUGGAUAUUUAGUUGAAUUUAAGGCAUGUGAUAAAUGUAAUUGAUAGUAAGUGGUGAAUGAUGAAUCAUGUGGAGUUGGAAUGCUUUGAGCUAGUUUAUGGACAUUUGAUGAGUAGUAAAGAAAUGGAUAUGCAAUGGUAUGAAAUGUACAUGAAAUGGUCAUUUUUGGUUGCUUAUUAGAUGUGAAAUUGAUGCCAAAAUGAUAUGGUUUAGGUAUGCAUGUGAAAGGUGAGAAAUGUGGCUUAAACCAAGUAUAUUUUCGUGCCACAUGGUCUGAGCACACGGACGUGUGACUCGACCGUGUGACCUCUAUUACAUAGAAAAUUUUUACAAGUUUAAAAUUUUUUUAUAUGUGAUCAGUUUAGUCCCGAACCUUCUUUAAUGUAUGUUUAAGGUCUCGUAGACCUCUAAAAGGGACAAUAUGUAAAUAAUUGAAUGAUAUUCAUUAAUGUUGGAUUAUUUGAUUGAGAAAUGAGUGUUGAAUGUUGUGUUUCGAUCGGUAAUACUUCGUAACCUUAUUCCAGCGACGGACACGGGUUAGGGGUGUUACACAAAAUGUAGUUAUGACGUAUGAAAUCAGAUUUGUUCCAUACUUUGGCAAUGUUGAAAGCGGUAAUAACAUCUUCCUCAUCCUCUCUAAAAAUAGGAGGAUCAUCCUUCAGAAAUUUUUCCAUAUUCAACAUGGUCAAAUAGAAAAACAUUUUACUAUGUUUUAAAAUUAUCUCUAGUGAAUUUCGCAGGCUUUUCAUUGUGACUCAUAAUUACAGGUAACGUUUGGCUCGCAGCCUGAGCAACGACAAUCGCCUCAGCCUUUGAAUUGGAUGAGUUGUUUGACGUAUGAGAUAUUUUUCUGUAUUCAGAAUAAAGAACCAGAAUCCGUAAAUAAAUUAAAAUCCGAAACAAAAGUAUAAACCUACCUAAAUAAGUUACGAUGGUAAUUUGUACACCUUAGAUUAAAACUACAACAAAUUAUUUGUCUUAAGAAUGUAAGAAAAAUAUAAUAUCAUAUGUAGUAUUAAUAUGUUAGUAACAAUACUAAUGCAAUACAAUGCAAUAGCAGUAACACAACAAAAUACCUGUAAUCAGACAGAGUUGAAGAUUAGAAGAAAAAUUUUGUUGAGGUCUAUAUGAACAAUUUCCUUAAGGCAAAUUCGACCUUUCCUCAGUGCUUUAAGUAACGUUAGAUGUUUGUCUCCCAUGAUACAACAAACAAACAAUCACAGUAGUAGCACAACAACGAUGGUCAAUCAAACACAAUCUUGCCUUUCUCUAUCACCAGGAGGAAUGAAUUUAGAAGGAAUUUUUGAUAUUGAUGGUUUUUUAUGAUGGAUUUUGGAAGUCUUCUAACUUGGCUUUAUAUAGAGGAGAGGAAAUGAAUGAAGAAUUUUAAACCGAUUCAUGAAGAGUUUUGUUGAAAAGUUAAUAGAUAUAAGUGAACAGAAACAAGGAAUGAAAAGAUGCAAUAUUAAACCAAAAGCAAUGAAUCUGUUCACCAAGAGAUACAAUUGUUCAAAAGAUACAACUAUUGAUCAAGUGACAGAACUACUAUUUAAUUUAAGCAUCAAUUUAUCAUUCAUCACUCAACAAUUUUGAGCAUAUUAUAUAGCAUAUAAAUCCAUAAUUUAUUAUUCAAACCUUCAAUUUUAUUAAUAAAAUAAUAUGCCUCAAAGUUUUAAAAUAUCCAUUAUUUUUUGUUGCCCAAGCUAAUCGUCAAAUUGAUUCAAACAUAAUUUAAAUUAGGUAAAUUUUUUAUGUAAACUUUAAUAAAUAAAUAAAUAUUUAAAAUAGAAUAAAUAAUAAAAUGAUGUAAUGUAAUUUUUAUUAUAAUAAAAGAUGUUUUUAUCCAUUUUACAUCUGAGACCAAUCUUAUUCUGGUAAGGGUGAUAUUCAAGUAAAGCUUUCUAACAAUAAUGACUCCAAAAUUUGAACUUAGUCCAAAUGCUUGGAGAAGAAAUCUUCAUCCAACUACUUGUUGGUACAAAUAAUGUAAUAUAAUAAUUAUGAAAUAAUUAUUUUUCUAGGACAUUAAUAUAAGUCCCGUAUUAUUGAAAAAGAUGUUUAAGUCAGGUAUCUAUAUAUAAUAUAAAAUCAACUCGUCAUUGGAAGUAAAUAGGAAUACUAUUGGUAUUUUUAAAAAAUUCAAAGGCCAAAAUAGGUUUUUCCCAUAAGUCAUUAGAAGUAAAUAGGGGUAUUAUUGGCAUGCUGAAAAUCGUCCAACGCCAAAAUAGGUUUUUCAUAAAAAAUUAUAAAUUACUUAGUUUUUUAUUAUUUAAAGUUAUUGAUUUUAAAAGUAAUUUUAUUAAUAAUUAGGUUGAUUUAUUUUUCCUACAAAUAAAAAAUCACUAACAUUUAUAUAAUAAUUGGUUUUUUUUCUCGUGCGAUGGUUGUUGUAUGUAUUAAUUAAAAUACAAUUUAUUUAUUAUAAAUAUGCCUUUUUAAUAUAAUUACCAUCAUUAAUUUAAAUAUAUUUUAACUAAGUAAUUGAAAUGAAUAAAGUUUAAGUAUUGAAUAAUUAUAGUAAAACAAUCUUUAAUUAAAUUAAAUAAUAAAAUGUUAAGAUAAAUAAUAUAUUUUAUGAUAAAUUUUAAAUUUAAAUAAAUAAUUUUUAAAAUAUAGACAUAUAUUAAUGGUAUGUGUUUAAAUAUAUUAAUAAAUUUAAAUUAGAUAAAUAAAAUAAUCUAAUUAUCUUAAAUUAAAAUUAAAUAAUGAAAAAAUUAAGAUAAAUAUUAUUUAUAUUUAUAAUAAUUUUUGUAUUAUGUUCUAUUUUUAAAUUUUGAACUAUAUUUUUAAGUAUGAAUAAAUAUAUAUAUAAUUUAAAUUAAAUUUUCUACGAAUUUUUAUACAAAUUUACGUUAUAUUUUUUUAUACAAACUUAUAAUAAUAUUAAUUUUUUUAUAAUAUUAAAAAAAAACUGUUUUUUUUUUUUACAAUAUAACUAUUUAGAUCAAUAUUUCAAUAAAACUAAUAGAUGUACUUCUUCAUUAAAAUAAAACUAUAAAAAUUCAACGUAUUUUACCGAUUUAACUUUACUUAAUAACUAUUUUGUUUAUUUUUCAAUGAUUUCCAUUAAUAUUUGUAAUAUCAUAUUAAAAGGAGUUAUGGUAAUCAUGUGUUAUAAAUUUUAAAAUUUACUAUUACAAAAUAAAAAAUGUGAAAAUAAAUGCAAUAUUUUUAAAUAUAUAUUAAAAUUACAUAACCAAUAAUAAUAUUGUUUGUGCAUUAGUUUACUAUUUUUUUGUUAGGAAUCGACCCUAUAAACAACAAAAUAGAAAAGAUAGAGAUUGAACACAAAUUUUACGAGAAAAACUUUUCUAAAGAGGAUAAAAACCACGGGCAAAGGACGUUUCGACUUUUCACUAAAUGAGUAAACAAACAAUAGUACAAUAUGGAGAAAAUAAACUUAAAUGUACUAAACAUACAAACCCAAACCCUGAAAACAAAACUCUAACUCGGGAACAAAAUUCUCUCCAUAGUUACCACGAAAACUCUCACCAAAACUUAUCUACGACUACAUCUUGUUACCCCCAAAAGAAAAGUAAAACCUCUCAAAACAAGGAUACAAGACCCCCUUUAAAUAGGCUAAGAUUAGAUGUCUAAUCAUACUAAAAUAUCCUUGGAGUAAUCAAAGUUUAACUGGGGAAAGAUAACAAACUUUAACCGGAAGAAGAAAAUCGAUUUAUGUGGGGAACAAGUCGCCACACCGCAACAUCCCCAUCUAUUCGGUCGAAAAUACAAGGCAUACCCCACAAUUUAUUUAUUUCUUUAUUGUUCUGAAUAUUUAUUAUUUGUUCUUACAUUUCUCAUUUUAGUUAUUAUUGUUCUCUUUAUUUUUCUAAAUCAGUUUAGUUUCUUUUUUUCGAAUCAGAUCAAAUAUUUCUUUUUCAAAUUAAACAACUUGAAUAUAAUUUUCUUUUCUUAUCUCGUAUCAUGGUAAAUGAUAAUAUGUUGGCUAGUUAGGCUUGUUUAGGAGUUCACUUGAUUGGUAUAUAAGGUGCAUUAUAGGCAAAAUUGUUGUUUGGUAUCGAGACAAUAAAAACAAAAAUAACCAAAUUAUGCAUUUUCGGGUGUAGGCCUCAAAAUUUACUAAGCAAGUCUUGAGACAUAAGCCACUAUGUCUCAAGACAACAAAAUAUUGAAGCUAAAGGUCUAAAACAAGGAAAUUAUGUCUCAAGACCUGUCUCAAGGCAAAAAGGUCAUUGUCUUGAGAUAUGAAUCUCAAUAUCUCAAGACAAUCAACUUCGAAGAAAAAUAAGAAAACAAAAGAGGCAUGUCUCGAGAUAUGGUUUCAUUGUCUUGAGACACAUUGUUGAAUUUUGAUAAUUUGGAUUUGGAUCCUAAAUCCAUAUAUGACCCCAUAUAAACCUAAAAAUCCAUAUAUGACCCCAUAUAAACCUAAAUCAAUAUGUGUGGGCCAAUUUGACUAUUAAUUACUACAAUUUUCUUUUGCAUAAUGAAAAUUUUAUAAUUAAUCAUUGUAUGCAUGUAUAAUUAUUAUGACUUUAUGCAUUCAGAUUCGACAACCAUGUUAGAUGUGGAGUGUCACAAAUCAUAUCAAAGUUCUAUUCAUCUAGUGUCAAAGUAUCUUGUUGGGGGGGGGGGGGGGGGGGGUUCCGUACUCCCGUUAUUUCAAUGGGAGGCCAAUUUCAAACAAUGGAGGUUCGUUUACCCUUCAUAGAGUGAUAUGUUUACUUGCAUCUUAUACUUGACUGAAGUCCUCAAAAAGGGCAGAAAUAACAUUUUUCAACUAAAACAGGGGUAAACAUCUUAAAUAGCGAAUUAGAACUUAUUAAAGAAGUCAUGUAUAUGUUUAUUGACCUCAUCAGGCUUUUCUUCAUGGAGAAAGUGUGCCACUCCCUCCAUCAUAACCACUUCCUCCAAGAGUGGAACAUUCUUCUUGAGACUUCCCUUGUGUAGGUAAUCCUUGAUUCCCGGAGCAUUAUAGGUUAGAUCCUGGUCGCCGACAAUGAACUUAACCGGCACUUUUAUUUUACUUCCAGUCCACGGUGCAGUAAGUUGCCAGUUUCUGCAACAAAGAUAUAUCAAACAACAUAAGCAACUCAGAACUCAAUACCUUAAAACUUGGGCAUUCAUCGAUGGAAGUUGAAGGGGUAAACAUAUAUACAAGUUUAUAUUUCGGUAAUAGUUCAAUCCCCCGGUGAAGCCUUUCUUCUCAUAUUGGCUGAGGUAAUACUUGCAAUCUUCCUCUGAAAACCAUGACGGCAAGCUUAUUGGAGUGUCUGGUUGUCCAAAAUAUUUGCCUUUUGGUAUAAGAAGAGGACAUGGAUCACGGUAUGUCAAGAAUCCCUUUAGAACUCUCUCAUAUCCCAUCUCCCUGAACUCAGCCUCUAUGACUCCAGGCUCCUGUAAAAUUUCCAAGCAUCAGAUUUUAUGUCAUUCAUUUUUUACAAGUACUUGUAUUUGAUACAUGUUUGAUUGUAACAAAUAUUCAGAGAUAUGGAGUAUGAUUCAUAUAUGAUAUAUAUUCAUAUCUAAACGUAAGUACGGUAACAUAGAUCAGAAAUGUUCAUCCAAAGGAAAAUAAAAUUAAAAUUCUGAGACUUUGCAAUUGAAAGAGUAUCAGAGACUCAUGGUGCAGCUAAUGUUCAAAUAGGAACUAUGGGAUAAAAAAUUAGUGCAGACCACUUCCAAUUGUUCUAAAGAAUGAUUAAAAUAACACUUCAAGCAGUAAAUCCAACAUAAAGAAGCCUAAAAGAUUGCACUUAGGGUACAUCAACAACAAAAGUAUGAAUAAAAUAUAUAAUUAAUUUCAUGUCAAUUGAACUGCUUCAUGUGAGAUUCUAAAAUAAAGAGAUUAUAGAAAAAUCUGAAAAACCAAGAAUUUCAAGCUUCUUUGCAUUUCUUAGAUCAAAGGGUCAUAAUUAAAAUUAAAAUUUUCUUUAAAAAAAACAGGGAAAUUAAGGAAAAGAGAACCGGAACCAAGAACCUGAAAUCUGCAUAUGUAGUAGUCAUCACCAUACAAAGCUCUGAGACCUUCAAGAGGUUUCAUAUUAGGGUUCCUAGGAUUGAAUGCAACACUCAUGUUAACCAAAGCCUUAACCCUAUCUGGUCUGAACAUGCACAACCACCAGGCAAUGAGGGCACCCCAAUCAUGUCCCACGACAAAAACCUGGUCCUGGUCGGCGGCGACAACAUCCAGGAGAGCAAUGAGAUCCCCCACCACGUGUAAACUGGUGUAGGUGGAGGCAUCAUCGGGUGCCUCCGUUUCCCCAAAUCCACGCAGGUCAGGAGCCAAAGCUCGGUACCCAAGCGAGGCAAAAGCAGUGAUCUGAUUGCGCCAAGUAUACCAGAGCUCUGGGAAUCCAUGGAGGAAAAGGAUUACAGGGCCUUUCCCUUUCUCAGCGACGUGAAUAUUUAUGCCAUUGGCUUUGAUUACCCUAUGCUCUAUCCCCUCCAUUUCGGGUCUGCUUGAAUGGGAUCUUUAUCCUAAGUUAUUGCUGCAAUAAAAUGGAGAACAAGUGAUGGUGGUGUUAACGACCUUUGCGUAUUCACUUGGCCUGCAAAAUGCACGCUUUGUCGUAGAGAGGUAGGAUUUUGUGUUCAAGUCUAUAGAAUUAGCGUAAAGACGCCUAAAAUUAGCUAUUCCCUUGAUCAAUCUCAUCUUAUAAAGCAACGGAGGAGAAUUCCUAGGUGUAUGUAGGAGAGGAGCAUGAAUUAACGCCUUGGGAGAGGCGAUGAUAUAUUAUUGUUGUGGGCCAGUAUUUAAACUGACUAUCCAUGGAAAAGAACAAAAUUGCGAUGAUAUAAUUAUUGUUGUGAGUGGAAAAUAUUUUCUUUUUCAGUUAUAAGUCAACAAAUCCCUUAAAACAAAACAAUCUCAAUUCACACCAUUUAAAUCUUUGGGAUAAUUAAAAUAAUUAAUUAAAUCUCUUUAUUAUCAAUUUCGGUCAUUAAUCUUGUUAACCGUUAAAAUAAAUUCACAUAGUAAUCCAUGAAACUUUUUAGUUUAAUUUAAUAUUUUUUAUAAAAAUAAUUACUUUUUUUAAAAAAAUUAUAAAAAAUAAGAAAAAUUAUAAAAAAUAUUAAAACUAAUAUAAACUUAAAAUUAUAAAAUAUAAAAAUCUAAUAAAUUAUACAAGAAUUUAUAAAAUUAAUAAAACUUAUUUAAAAUAUUUAAAAUUAGAAAAAUGUAUUAGAAUUCUUAAAUAAUAAUAAAUUGUUAAAAUUUAUAAAAAAAAUAUUAAAAUUAUAUAAACUUACAAAAAUUAUAAAAAAAUAAAAACUUGAAUUGAACCAUUUAGCCCGAAAUCAGCAUUAGACAAGUUAACUUGGGAACCACGCAAUUCCCCAUGAAUAGGAUCAAACCUUAUUCCAUGAUAUUUACAUGAGAUUCUCUUUUCUUAUUCUUAAGCAAGUCCUCGAGAGGGCUUAGUUGAUCCAUGAUUUAUGUUUAAGCUUUCAUUUCAUUUUUGUUUGUUUCGAGAAAUAUAUAGAUCAAUUUCGAUUCUUUCUUUUUCUAUUGAUUCUUUUCCGAUCGAGAUGUAUGGAUCUGUGAAUCUGUGUCUAUAUCGAUCCCGUUCAUGGAUUAAUGAAAAUGUGCAAAAGCUCUAUUUGCCUUUGCCAUUCUAUGAGUCUUUUUCUUUUUGCGUAUGGCAUCGCCACUCCCAUUGGUAACAUCCACUAAUUUGAAACUUAAUUUGAAAGUCAUAUUUCAACCCGUACGUUUCCGGGAUGCCCUUAAUAACAAACGAAUGGCAAGUGUUUUUCCUUGUGUGGAUCCUAUUUCAAUGGGAACUUGAUGAGUCGAUCCGCCUACACGUCUUGCUUUUACUGCUAUAUCGAGAGUUACCCCACGUAUUACUUGUAACACCCUUAACCCGUAUCCAUCUCCAGAAUAGGGUUAUAGAGCAUUACCGGAGUUUACAAAUUAAUUUACAGACAUUUCAUUUCAUCAAGCAUUCAUAUUUAAAAUCAAUCAAAAUCAAAACAUUAAUGAGCUAACGUUGGCCAAUUUAUCUCAUACAUGUCAUUAUAACCAGAAUCAAAACAUCCAAAAUUACCGAUAGAAUUAAUGGAUAGUGUAAUAAAUAUUCAUACAUCCAUUCAAUGCAUUAUUCCCCUUUUUAUCAAAUAUGUCAAUGUUUCAUCAAUUUUUAUACAAUGAACAUUCAAAUCAUAUUCACAUCAAUAACAUAAAUUUCAAGCAUUUAAGAAUAUAAUUCAAGUUACACGAACUUACCAGACUAAAUUAUAGAAAUACCAAAAAUUCAAGGACAUUUUGAUAGUUUUCUAUUUUCCUCGAAUUUCCAUCCAAUCAUGAUCUAAAUUAAUAUUUCAUUCAAUUUAUUAAUUUAAAUAAUAAAACAAUUCAUUUCAUGCAAUUUGGUCAGUUUUUGACAUUUUUACCAAUUUACCCUUAAAAUAUUACUUUUAUUCAAUUUAGUCCUUGAACCUAAAACAUGCAAAUUGGCCAUUUUUAAUGAAAACUCAUGCUAGUUGAAUAAUCAUUUAUUUUCCUCCUCAUCCUCUCCAUUCCACAUCCUUAAUGUAUAAUAUGCUUAUAUGUAACAUUAUCUAUAAUUCCAUCAUUUAUUUAUAUAUUAAUUCAAAGCUGUCCACUUGAGUCAUAGUCACUAAAUUAUUUAUAUCUUGAGCUAUGGAACUCUGAAUUAAGAUCCGAUAAAUUCCUAUGAAACUAGACUCACAUAUCUUCUUACCAUAAAAUUUUUAGAAUUUUUGGUUUAGCCAAUAAGUACAGUUUAUUAUUUAAAGUUUCCCCUAUUUCACUAUUUGACAAUUCCGACCCCUCUUUACUAAAAAUUAAUUAUCUCUUUGUACAGAAUUUGAAUGAUGUUUCCUUUUGUUUAUAUUGAAAAUAGACUCAUUCAGGAUUUUAAACAUAUAAAUUUAAAUCUCUAAUUAUUUUUAUUCAAUUUUUGAUGAUUUUCCAAAGUUAGAACAGGGGAACCCAAAUUCAUUCUGACCUUGUCUCACAAAAUUUAUUAUAUCUCAUGAUUUACAAUUUCAUUACUUACACCGUUUCUUCUAUGAGAAACUAUAAUUAAUAAUCUUUAAUUCCAUAUUUUUUUAUCCUCUAAUUCGAUUUCCACAAUUUAUGAUGAUUUUUCAAAGUUAACCUACUGCUGCUGUCCAAAACUGUUUUAGUGCAAGAUGUUGAUUACUCAAUUUAUAACGCCCUUAUUCCCUUUCUCUAUAAUAUUUCCCAUCAUUUUCACUUAUUUCCCUUCACUAAUAUAUCAAGAACAUAAGACUUUAUUUAAGAAAACUCUACUAUAACAUCAUUUCCAUACUUUUUUAACAAUAACAAACUUAAAAAUAUAUUGAAAUCUUGAUGUUCUUACCUUAUGCUACUGAUUUCAAUCUUUAACUUAAUUUUCUCUCUCCUCCAGCUUCUAUUUCUUGAAUCUAAAUUGACAUUCUAGCUCCCCAUUGUCUCCUUAUUAUUUUUUCUCUCUUGGAAGCUAUGGAAAUUCUUUUAAUUUCUAGGUGAAAAUAAUGAAUUUUUGGUGAAAGGACCAAAUUGUAAAGAAAGCAAAAUUUUCUUUCUUCUCUUCUCUUCUAACGUUGGUUGCAUGGAAAGAUGGUGAUUUUUCAUCAUCUUUCAUCCCUUUUAUAUUAACCAUUUAAUAAUAAAAUAAUACUAAAAAUCUUAAUAAAAUAAUAAUUAAAUAACAUUUAUCUAAUUAAUUAAUUAAAAAUAUCACAAACAUCAUCAUUACCUUCUAUAAUUCUCUCUCUCCAUUUGACCAUUUUUCCCUUUAUAAUCUUUUGAAAUUUCAUCCUUGAGUCAUCACUUAAUUUGGUAAAAUUACAAUUUAGUCCCUCAAAAUUCUUUACCUUUUCAAUUUGGUCCUAAUUCAUCCAUUUUCCUUAGUUUCUAAAUUAUUCCACACUUAAAUAUUUACACUAUUGGUCCUUCAAAUUUUUCAUAUUUACACUUUAACCCCUCAAAUUUAUAGUAUUUACUUUUGGACAACAAAACUUUUCUCACUUUUGCAAUUUAAUAUUUUCUUGAAUUAAUAUGUCAUAAUAUACUUCCCAAUGUUGACAUAACUCAAUAUUUUCUAAAUUAUUCCACCCUUAAAUAUUUACACUAUUGGUCCUUCAACUUUUUCAUAUUUACACUUUAACCCCUCAAAUUUGUAGUAUUUACUUUUGGGCAACAAAACUUUUCUCACUUUUACAAUUUAAUAUUUUCUUGAAUUAAUAUGUCAUAAUAUACUUCCCAAUGUUGACAUAACUCAAUAUUACCCUUUUUAUCACUUUAUUUCAUUAUUUUACUAUAUCAAGGAUAUUAUCUUACUUUCUUACUAUAGUAAUUUUCGGGGUAUUACAUUGCUUGACGUAAAAGAGAUAGUGGAUUUGUUUAUGUCUUUUGUUGAAUCUUUUUCAAGGCUCGAUAGAUAAUUUGAUAAGCCAAUGAUUUUUUUUCGUGUUUCAAAAUACGGUUAACCAACAUGUUAACUAAUUGAUUACGAUAAAUUGGAUCGGAUUUUGCAGUUUUUUCUUCUGUGGAACUGAUUUUUUAUUUUUUAAUAUUUUUUAUCAAACCAAAAUUCCAUUAUCCAACUAUUAGCAUAUGCCAGAAUGAAAUAUUCUAACAAAAGUGUUUAGAAUCGGACCGAUGGUCGACCUAGUCAGGCCAGCGAUAUACUAAUUCGUUCAAUUAAAUAAAUAAUAAAAAAUAAUGAAAAUAUAAAACAAAUUAGUUCAACCGUACAGUUCCCAGGUCAACUGGUCUAAUGGCUUUCUCUGAAUCAAUACCUUUUUUGAUUCCAGUCUAAUUAAUCCAAUCGACUGAUCCGGUUCAAUUCAAAUUUUUAUAAUUUUUUUAUAAUUUUUUUAAGUUUAUAUAUAAAAAGUUUGAAUAUUUUUUUUAAUAAUUUAAGAUUUUUUAGGAUUUUUAUAGAAUAUUAAUACAUUUUUACAAAAUUUUAAAUAUUUUAAAUAUGUUUAAUUAGUUUUAUAUUUUUUAUAAUUGUUAAUAAUUUUAUGAUUUUUAAAAUUUUAUAUCAAUUUUCAUUUUUUAAUAUUUUUUUAUUUUUCUAUAAUAUUUUCUUAUUUUUUAAUAUUUUAUGGGAAAAUAUUAAACCAUAAGCUGCCAUGUGUCACUAUUUAAUUGGCCCGUCAAUUUAUUUAACAGUCUAAGAAAAAAUUGAAAAAGAAUUAUGAAUAACUAAGAAAAAUUAUAUAUAUAAAGAAAAACACGUUAUGGCAAAUGCCCAAAAUCGUGAUACACAACUAAAAAGUAAAGGGUAUAAAGCUGCAGCGGACGGUCCAAUAAUUGUGGUUUUAGAAAAGAGAACAGUAAAAGGAACAGACUAACAGCAAAGCAAGGAAUUUAUAUCUAAUAAAUUGUCAAAAAGAAUGGAAAAGAGCAUAAAGCAAAGUGAAAUGCAUCCUACAAAAAAAAGAGACAAAUCCAUUUUGUGAUUUUAUCUGCUAAUUUUGAUUUAUAUAAUCUUACUUUACAGCUCGAAAAUGAAACCGUCUAUUAUAUAUUAGGUUAAAAUUAUAGGAAAAGUGAUACGAGUCACAAAAGCCCAAAUUCUUGAAGGCGAGGUCCAAUAAGUAAAUUCCCAGUCCAAUCAAGAAAUCCAUCUAUACUUAGUUGAAAAUCAGGCCAAAUUGUCAAAGUGGCCCAAGUUGUAAAGUUUUAUUUUUAUUUAUUUAUUUAUUUAUUUACUUAGUUUAAAUUUUUAUGUCAAUAUUCAGUCCAAGAGUCCCAGAUAAAAUGACAUUUGACCGAAUUUCCAUAUUAAAAUAAUUAGGAGUUUUUUUUAUUUUAGUUUUCUAAUUAGAUUAGGACUAGUUAUAAGGCCUAUUUAAAGGCAUGGCUGUCCACCUUGUUAAACACUUAUCAUUAUUAUUAAAAUUUCAGAUUUGUUGAGAGCAGAAUUUUCUUUGAGUUUUCUCCAAGAUUUCUCUCUUGAGUUUUCUUUAGAAGUUGUUUUAACAAUCUUGUGAUUGUGGGAGCCAUCUUCAACCUUCUUCUUGCCAUUGAUAUUCUUUGGAGGGGAGAUUAGAGCCGUUUGAAGGGAGUUGUGAGAUCUUUCGAGAUUUCAAGGCUUCUUAGGACUUAUCUUUUAAUUUCUUACUGUCAAUUCUUUCUUUAUUUCUACUUGUGCUGAAUCAUUAUCUAAUCUAUUUUCUAUUCUUAUUGUGUUUUCAGCCUUUUUCUAUCUUAAGGAAUUAGCCCAAAAAUCCCCAAUUUUUAGGGUUCUUGCCGAUUCAUCCAUACUCUUUUUGGGAGAAAUUAGAUUGCCGAAAUUUGGGGAAAACUAUCUGGGUGUUCAAUUGGGCAGAAUCGCAAUCUCUUCUAGGGUUUCAAGAUUCCUUAUUAACACUUAUUUCUAUUCUCUAUUUGAUUCUUUACUGUUUUGGGGAUUUUAUUUCAGAUCUGAAAAUUCAAAAAUCUAAUCUUUUAAUUUUCUGUUUCGUUUCAGAUCUAAUUGUUUAGGGUUUUCGUAGGAGUUUCUCGUGACUUGGCAACUCGAUCUUGGUCCGCGCGCAACCCCGUAUCAGAAAGUCAAUGUUUUUGGUCAAUUUAGUUUUUUAUUGUAUUUUGAUUAAUUUUAAAUUUUUACAUUUUGAAAUAUAGUUAACUAUUUCUAUAUUAGUUUCAUUUGUAUAUUAAAAUUUUAGAGAAGUGAUUGUUAUACAUUUAUAAUAACAUUUCAAACAGUUAUAAGAGCAUUUGAAAUUCAUAUCAUUUUUAAAAAUUUUGAAAAUUUUAAUUAAAAUAUAUUAAUAAUAUUAAUUAUUGGGAUUUAGAUUGUAUCUUUAAUAAAAUCUACAAAUAUAAUACAACUUUAUAUACCAUUUGACCGAGAAAUUAUUCUAUGAACCCUUACCACCAUCUUAGCAAUAGGCCCAUCCAAUUAAUUUACACCAAAUCGACUUUUAUUUCCACUUUAGAUCUAAGCGAUUUCAUCUUCCUCUCAAUCCCAAACUGAAAUUGGAGAAAAAAAUUGUUUGAAAAUCUUCACUACUCACCCAAAAAGUAAAAUAAGAAAAUUCAAACUAACCAUUUUCAAGAUUCAAGAAAACUAAUGUCUUGAUAUAACUAUACUUGAUAGAAUAUAUGAUGAUGAUGAAGGCAAAAGAAAUUUAAUAUCUUCAACUACAGAAGUGAGGAACAGAGAGUCAUUAAGCAAACUUGGGGAAGAGAAAUGAGAAUAUUGGUGGGAUCUAUUACAGUUGCUACCGAGAGUGAUAGAAAAAGAGAAGAAAAGAAGGAAGAAGCAAGAGAAAACACAGAGAAAAUGAAGGAGGGAUAAGGCAAUUUCUUCAAUUUGUAUAACCUCCUAUUGUUACAAGCCUUCGCUAAAAAGGGAAAAAAUAUGAUUUUUGCACCUAAAUUCACUUAUCAACUAUUACUACAGCUGUAAACCAAUGCUAAAAACGCACCAUUUCAUUUAAAGUGAAAUAUUCCGUUUCACUAAAACACGGGCCACUAAAUCACUCAGCUAAAACGCACCAUUUUAUUUACAUAUUCGGAACCAAAACACAACAUUUGGUUAACUAACAUAACUACCAUUUCUAAACUCCCUUGUGCAAAAAGAUCCUUACUUUAAGGAUUGAAAGAAGGAAACUACUGUUGUAAAUGUUGGAAGACUUCCCACAUAGCAUUCUCAGGAAAGGUGUUGGUCCACUCCACAAGCAGUUCAGUGACAGCAUGAUUACCCCGACAGACCAUUCAGUGAUCAAGAAUAUGGUUGGGUUCUUUGGUCAUGGCUCCAUAUAGUCCAACCAAGGGUAAAGUGGCCUGUAUAGGCUACUUACCAACAUGCUUCUUGAGUUGGAAGACAUGGAAGGUAGGGUGGAUGCGUGGCCCUGGUGGAAGUUGGAGGUGAUAAACCAUUGAUUUGAUCUUAGCCAACACCAGAAAAGGCCCAAAGAUUUUAGGGCUAACUUUUGGUUUAGGACCCUUCUGAAUGAGUGUUGUCUGUAUGGCUACAAUCUGAGGUAGACUAAGUCUCCCACCUUAAAGAUCGAAUCACUCCUUCGAUUAGCCAGUUGUUUCAUCCUAUCCUAAACAUGCUUGAUAUAGAAAUGAAUAAGCUUCUUAGUUGUUUCUCAUUGUUGCAAACCCCAAUCAACACAAGCCACUGUGGAUGACCCAACCAAAUAAGGCAGAUAAGGAGGGUGGAGGUUGUCCAUAAAGAGCUUCAUAAGGAGUAGUUUGUAGGGUAGAAUGGAAGGUUGAGUUGUACCACCAUUUUUCCAAUGGUAACCAUAAAUGCCAAUCUGUAGGACGUUCCCCAAUCAUACACCUAAGGGUAACUUUCCAGACAUCUAUUAAAUGCCUUGGUUUGGCCAUCACAUUGUGAAUGGUAGGUAGUAGAGAGUUGCAAACUUGUGCUAAUCCGUUUCAAAAGCUCUUGCCAAAACUAAUUGACGAAGACCAUAUCACGGUCAAAGACAAUAGACUUAGGGAGCCCAUAAAGCUUGUAAAUGUUGUUGAGGAACUUUUAGGCAAUAGUGAAAGUAGAAAAAUGGUGUGCUAAGGCCACAAAAUGGCCAUACUUGGUGAAUCUGUUCACCACCACCAAAAUUGUGUCUUUGCCUCGUGAAGGAGGAAGGCUUUCUGUGAAAUCCAUGUUGAUGGCUGCCUAAGCCUUUUUUGGUAUAGGCAAUGGUUAUAGAAGGCUUGGAGAAGCAGAGUUGUCAGCCUUGCACUUUUGGCAGACUGAGCAUUCCUUAACCAAGUUCUUAACAUCCUUGGCCAUCCCAUUCUAGUACACCAAACUAGGUAAACGAUGUUGAGUAACAUGGUUACUUGAGUGUCCCCCCAAAAAGCUUUUGUGGAAGUAACAAAAAAAAACUCCUUUUGUAGCUUCUUAUUUGAUCCUACCACCAGCUUCCCUUUCCUCUUUAGAAGCUUACCAUCCCAUGUAUAUUUUGAGUGAGAAGCAGGUUGUUAUACUUAUAAACAUAGCUUGCUGAGCUUUGUGUCUAUCUUUCAAGAAGCUUGUAUUUUGGUUAGCAAAUCAAAUAUGAUGAAGUAGUUGACCUGAGUGCUAGAUUUAGUGCCCUGAGUGUAGUAUUUUUGUCAAUGUACAUUCAUAAUUUUUUCAAACAGAUUGGUUAAUAAAACAAAUUCAUAGAUUACAUUAAUAUACUUUGUAUGAUUUUCCUCAUAUCAGUUUUGCAUGUAAAGAAAAAUGAAAGCAAAUGUUGGUCAUUGGUUGUCUAAUGUUUAAACUAAUACUAAGCGAAAUUAUAUGGUCAGAUCAUAAAAUGGAAAUUCAACUUAUAUUAGUAGACUAACCUAAACAUUUCCUUAGUUUAAUUGGAAACUAGCAAACUGAUUGAAAGACUAAUAUGACAUCUAUCAAGUCCAAUUGGGGAGAUGCUUUAUCUCAGGCAUCAGAGUGGAUGACUUUCAGAAGAUAGAGACAUACAUGUGGCUGACUAGGCUGACAGCACAUCGAACUAGACCCAAGAUAAAUAGAUACUGAAUCUAUUUAUGGAUUUAUUCACUUGUGAUGUUCAUAAUGUGGCAUACCUAAAUCCUAAGUGGAUGAUGGGCUAUGUAUAUAUGACUCGUACACUUUGAUGUAAGUAAGUACCUGAGUUCAAAUAAAUAAGGAACCUUAAGCUAAUGUGUUGGGUGUACGACUUCUGUAGUAUGUAGCAUCAUUCACAAUAAUAGAAUUCAUAGCCCAAUACAUUGGUAAAUGAUAUCCUCUCAUUAGCAUUAAUCCUCUCAUUAGCAUUACAUGGUUGAUGAAAAGUAAACGUGGCCACUGAUCGUUCGUCUUUGUAAUGAAUGACUUAAUUACUAUUUGAUAGUAAUUGACUUUUCAUUAAGAAAUAUGUAGUAGUUACCAUAAGAUAAAAUAUGAUCAUAUUGGGAGAAUGAAUAUUAUCCCAAAGAUAUUAAGGAUGCCUUAUGAGGGUAACACACUUAUGACAAGGUCAUUAGAUGAGUACUAAUCGAGUUACUUUCGUAAUGGUAUGCCAUUAGGGAGAACUCGGUCUGUUUCAACCCGAUAGUUAGGGGUGUCAGAAAGAAUAUUUCUAGGACUCUGUUUCUACAAAUUGGACCCAUAAAUAUUCUUAUUAAAUAUUUACGGGGUCACAUUAGAGGUGAAUUGAAUUUUUAGUAAGUAAUUUUCUUAAAUUAGGAGUUAUUAAGGUACAGUAACUAAAUCGCGUAAGGGUUAAAAGUUGGAUUAUAGAUUGAAAUAAAUAAAAUAGACUAAAGUGGGAAGGAAUAAAAUGAAGGCAUGCAAAUUAAAAGAAAAGAAAGAAAGAAGAGAAGAAGUAACCAACGACAUUAGGGGUUUCUAACUUUCUAACUUCAAUUGGUUAGUCAAUUUAUUCCCUUUUCUUGUAAUUUUUUAUGUUUUUGGAAUCCUGGUACUUAGAGCUACCCGGCCCAUGUUAUAAUUUUUAGUAUUGUUUAAGAUUUUAGAUGUUGUUAUUGUCGAAUAUUUUAAGUACUAAGGGUUAAAUUGAUAGAUUUUUAAGUUAGAUGUGGAAAAGGAUUAAAUUGUAGAAUAAAUUGUUGAUUUUCAAUAAUAAAGGCUAAAUUGUGAAAAUUUCAAAAUUAAGGGGUAGAACUGAAACAUAUGGAACUAAAUUUAGCUUAGAGUGAAAUUAGUAUAAAAAUAUAAAGUUAAAUGUGAAUAUUUAAAUUAUUCUCGAUUUAGGGACUAAAUUGAAAAAUAAACAAAAUAUAGUAGAAAAAUUGAAAUUCUUGUGAAUUGAGUGGUAUAUUAUUAAUUAAUUUAAAUUAUUUUAUUCUAUAGAAAACAUCGUUCUAGAGUCCUAGAGUAAGAAGGGGAAAGGCAAGGUCGACAUCAAAUAGCUCGGAAUAUACGAUUUGUGUUUCUAUAAUCCAAAAUAAUUUACAAAUUGUUACAUAUUAAAUUGUUUGCAUAUGGUAAGUAAUUGAGGUAAGUACUCUUGUAUUUUGAGUUGAAUUGAAUCAAUUGAUGAUUAUGAAUAUCAAGAAAUGUGAUGCCUUUAUAAAAAUUGAAAUGAAUAUGUGUAAUUGAGAAAUUGUGAUCGCUACCAAACUGAAUACAUGUUUAUAUAUAAUCAUGAACAUAUAUGAAAUUGGGACAUUGGUUGUCUUGUAAAGUGAAUUGAAACCCUAUUAAUUGUUUCGGGAUAAGUCAGAUAUAGAUGGCAUGCCAUAGGAUAGGAAGAGUUCAAAGAUUUCUUCGACCUCGAGUCGAUAAGGCAUUGGGUGCCAAUUUGCUUCAGUUUAACCGAUGAGACACUGGGUGUCAACUUAUAUAGCACUGGGCGCAGUUAUUAUUUCAAAUUUAUCUGAUGAGGCACUGGGUGCCAAACUGACGUGUUGGUUGGAUCUGUGUAUCCGUUCAAGUCCAAGUCGUGUUAAUAUGAGAAAUUAAAUGAUAAAUUUUAUGUGUUGAUAUUGAGAUGACAAGGAUGAGAAAUGGAUAUGAUAUGGGAAAUGGAAUAUGAAAUGAUGAAAUGGGAUAUGAAUAUUGAAAUGAAUUCAUGUAUUCAACAAAGAGAUGAAUCAUGCCAUUGUAUGAGUUGAAAUUAUCAAAUGCUAUAUGAAAUGCCAUUGUCAUGUACUAGAACAUGUGGAAUCUAGUGGAUGUGAAUAAAAAAUGAGCAAAUUUAUAUUAGUGAAUUGAAACAUAUGUUCAUAACAUUACUUUUUGUAUUCUUACAUUUUAAUUACUCAUAUCAAGUUUAAAUUGUUCGGAUUAUAGAAAUACCACUGAGUUAUACUCAACAUACUGUUUUCUUUUUCGUUCACAGGUUAGGUACAUUUCAGCUUACCAUCGACUCAACAUCCAACAACGAUCCAGGACUCAAGUGCGAUGAUGUUCUAUUUUUUCAUGACAGGUACCUAGGAGUUUGAUGUUGUUUAUAAUGUGAUGAUGUUUUGGUUUUCAAGGGAAAUGAUGGUUUUUUGUAUAUAUGGUUGUGGUUGAGGCUAUGGUUGUGGUUGAGGCUAUGUAUGGUAUGAUAGCUUAACUUAAUGUUUGGUAUGUGUUUAGCUUAAUGUUUGGUAUGUGUUUAGCUUAAAGUUUGGUAACCUAAGUAGCUAAAUGUUAGUCCAAUUAUGGAAAAUUUGGUAUGAAUGAAGGUUUUGAAUGCUUGAUGCUUUGUUAAUAUGUUUGAAGAUAUAAAAUUUGGUACCAAUGGGGGUACAUUGGUUAGACACUUAAGAUGGUUAUUUUGGCAUAUUUUGAACAUGUUUAAUUUUGUUUUGAAUAUGUUAAAUGGCUGGUGAAUUGAUUUCUUAGUGUCCAAGUAAUCACAAUUUGGUAAAAUUGAGUUUUAAGGUACAUUUAGGUACACACAGCCUGGGACACGGUUUGUCACACGGCCAUGUGUCACACACGGGCAUGUGCCCUAAACAUGUCAUAGAAUACGAUAGAUGCAGUUUCCAUACGGGCUAACACACGGUCGUGUAACCCAAAUUAGUGAGUUACAUGGUGUGGGAUGUUUCAUACAGUCGUGUGACCCCUAUUUCUUAGGAUUUUGAGGUUUGCCCUAAAAUUUUAGAAUUAUUUCAAAUUAGCCCCUGUUUGUUUUUAGACUAUAUGUAACAACCCGAUUUAGGGCCUAAACAGAUAGUGGUUUCAAAACCAAAAAUCCAAAAUAGAAAAAUUUAUUGCGAUUAAGUUUUAAUAUUUACUGUGUGAUUGAAUGACUAUGUGAAUUUUUCGCUGUGAAAUUCUAUCGAUUGAGUGUCUAAUUUGAUGAUUAGGACUAAAUUACAAUAGGUGGAAAAUGUGUGUUCUAGUUCAUAAAGGUACUUGUUUGUAAUGGGUUUUUAAAAUAGAGGUCCUUAGAUAGUAAUUAGACCAUUAUACUUCAGUUUGGACAAAAUACCCAAAGAAGGAUAAAAUACCAUAGUUUUUAAUGAAGGGCAUUUUGGCCAUUUGGUUAAUAAAAGAAAUAAAAAGAGAAAAUAAGGCCAAAAUUGUGUCCAUCUUCUCCAUGCUUGGCCAAAUUUCUCUACGUCUCCAUAGCUAGGGUUUUUUCAAGCUUUCAAGCUCAAUGGUAAGUGCAUCUUAGCCCUGUUUUUAAUGUUCUUUACAUUUUUGAGAUCCUCAUAACUCGAUUUAGCUAUUUCUACCAUUAUUUUGAACUAGGGUUUGUGUUUAGAAAUUUACACAUGAAUGAAAUGCAUGUGUUUUGAUGUUUUAUGGAAGAUGUCGAAACCAUUUUUUUUUAAAAAUUUGAAAAAUAGGGAUUGACUUAAAAAGGAAAAUGGGAGUCGCCACCGAUCUUCUAUAGAGGUGUGAUCGGAUCACCUUGAAAAUAAUUUUAGGUCUGACAAAAUUUUUUGAGAAAAUAGGUUCGGGAGUCGAUUACGCGCGGGGAAGGGUUAACACCCUCGUGACGCCCAAAAUUGGUACCGAUUUGAUUGUUUAAUGUCUUAAUGUCGAAAUUUUGAAAAGAUUUUAAAAUACGAUCCUUUUAUUUUGAAUGAAUUGGAAGAUAAGACUCAUUUAUUUUAAAGAAAUAAAUUGUUACACUCAGUAAGUUAGAGUGCAACGUUUCAAAUCCUCCAAAUUAAGCUUGUCGUUUGAGUUUUAAAACCUAUGCGUUUUGAGAAGGAUAUCCGAUUAUUUGGGUCCAAUGAGAAAAUCAAAACCCAAUAAGUUAGGGUCCGAUUUCACAAAAUUCCUAAAUAUCGAACAUUGCCUUUUAUUUUUAAAAUCCUCGUCUCGAGAAAAUAACAUGUCAUAUCCAAUAUGUUAGGACACAACGUGUCGAAUUCCCGAGAAUGAGUUUUUAUUUGAAUUUGUAUGUUUUCAAAAAAUCUUGAUUAUUUAGAUUCAGGGAGAUAGGAUUGAUUUCUUCUGUCUGCUCCACUACUGCUUAGGGAGAUAAGACUUGUAAUUUCCAACCUAUUCCACUGCUGGUCAGGGACAUAGGACUUGUGGCUUAAAUCUAUUUCCCUACUCCUGGGGGAGAUAAGAUUCACCGCCUUCGAUCUGCUCCGCUAGUGCUUAGGAAGGCAAGAUCUGGUAUCUUUAACCAGCUCUACUGCAACUGAUGGAGGCAAGGCUUUGUUUUCGAUCUGCUUCACUGUUAACGCAGGAAGGCAAGAUCUGUCAUCUCUAACCAGCUCCACUGCAACCGAUGGAGGCAAGGCUUUGUUUUCGAUCUGCUUCGCUGAUCUGUAGGAAGGUGAGAUCUGUUUCUUUAACCAGCUCCACUGCAAUCGAUAGAGGUAAGGCUUUGUUUUCGAUCUGCUUCGCUAUUAAAGCAGGAAGGCAAGAUCUGCUAUCUUUAACCAGCUCCACUGCAACCGAUGGAGGCAAGGCUUUAUUUUUUAUCUUCACUGAUCUCUUCUCUCGGGAACAUAAAUUGUAUAAUGAACCUAAUUAUGCCUAAUGAUUAGGAUGACAUGAUCAAAAUGAAUCAAAUGCUCCUAACUAGACAUGUGUGAAUGGCGUUUGCAUGAAUGUAGAAUUUUAUUUUAUUUUUUGAGAAUGAUCUCGCUUAGGUUGUCAUUACUCGAAGUUUAUUAAGGCUUUGUGACUGAUGUACUACAACGCCUUCUCGUUUGACUGGCUUUUCUGAAGAAACAUUUAGCCAGGUUGCCCCCACUGUAAACUUCAAAGUUUAAUCUAUUAGGGCGUACAACUUGUACCAUCAUUCUCCCACUGUAAUCCAAGGGUAGAAAUAUGGCUUUCCUCAAUCCUUUCUUAUCACAAUUCAAGGAUACAGGAUCCGAAUCUUUCUAGUUCCUUACACCAUUCCCAAGGUGUCGUAUCAAAGACUUAUGCGCAGAUGAAGGCUCUCUUCUCCAAGGUAACCUCUUCCUAUUUCCUAAUGAUCAUUGCUUGCUUGUUCAUUUAAGCUUUGUCACCAACAUGGUGUCUUGUCAAUCAACGCAUUUGACAACAAAAAUCUAAAGAGAAAGUCUAAAUUUAGACCAUUCCUUCUCAAAUUUCCAACCUUUAAAUUUGGUGUGUUCUAAACAAUAGUCCUGUUUCAAGCUCCUAUAUUAUUUAGAAACUUUUCAGAGUAAUAUGCAAAAAUUCAUUUGUGAAAGUUUUAUUAGUCCAUUAAUCAUUAUUCCAAUGCAACAUGUUUGCAAAAAGGGCAUAACAAUAGAUAAGAAUAAAGUUGGUUCUGAGCAUAGCUCGAAAGAACAAAUUAUCGAAAAUAGUAAAGAAGGAUGACAAAGAAAUUAAUUGGGAAUGUAUAUCUUGGAAAGGAAAAAAGUAUUCCAAGAACAACAAAUAAUAUGAGAAUUCGGUGCCCCAGAUAUCGUAGCUUGAACUUCUCUGUACAAACUUUCUGAAGACCAUUUUGAGUUGGACAUGUGUUUAGGAGAUCUACAGUGCUCUGUCGAUGCCCCAAGAUGUCGCCUAUCCUUUCUUGUUGAUUUAGGCAUAGCAAGAUCACCACAUGCCCAAUUUGGUCAAGAUUUGAGUUGCUUUGAUUACCUCAUGCCCCAUUCUGAUCAAUAUUUGAGGCGCCCUUUUCGGGUUUUCAACUCAAAUCCCUUUUGGCCUAAGGUGUCCUUUGCGGGUUUUCCCCUUAGCCUCUCCAUUUUUACUCUUUCAUUUUUUUCAUUUUUCAUUUUCAUUUUUCAUUUUUCAUCUUUCUUUUUUUUUUUUUGAAAUCCAUUGUCUUGCAGUACGGUGACAAACCGUGGUGUCUGAUUUUGAACUAAUUACAACCCUCAGCUAUUGUGCUGUCAUUCAAGUUCAAUGCAAUUUCCAAUACCAUCCUCUCUAGAAUUCUAUAUCGGCAUAUGAUGACAUUGAUGCAUGCAGUAGCCUCUAUCUGUUUGAUGAAGUAAUUAAUGAUCUCAAUAGUGAAGCAAUGCCCAUUAGAAGUCUUCGAUAAUAGUGAUGUCCAUGCCCCAUUUUGCUCGAAGUUUGAGUCGCCCUUUUUUGGGUUUUCAACUCAAAACCACCUUUGGUCACAAAGCGCCCUUUUUGGGUUUUCGCCUUGGCUUCUCCUUUCCUUUCCUUUUUCUCUUUUCAUAUUUUAUUUUGACUUUGAUUGAUUUCUCUUUUUUGCUUUUAACUCUUUUUUUUUUAAUCUGAACCCUUUCGAUCAGAAUCAAUGUUUUUAUAGAUAAGAUUUUUCACUUUCAUCUUUUAUGCGAAAAACCCUAUUUGGUAUCAGGUUUCUUUCAUAGAGCCUUCUGGGGCGAAACUACGAUAGAAGAAUUUGGAUCCUCCUCUUCAAUCAGGAUAAAAUCCAAUAAACGGGCAAAGCUAUGUUGAAUCGACGAGUAAGGCAUUACCCCGGCAAAGAAUUGUAUCGUUUAUACUGGAAAUUUCUACCAUCGCGCUACUGUGCAGAUUUCAUUAUCAGUGCUUAACUCAGGCAUAUCUUGGUAUGACCAUAAAAAGACAUCCUUGAACUCUAGAAUAACUUAAUGAGGAGCUACUUCGUCUUUGAGGUCAGGUCAAUUACCAAGCUCACAAUUUCUAAUGGUUCCUAGUGAGGUAGGAUCUAUCGAUUCUCUUGUUCUACCAUCCUCAAUAAGUCUGAGAUAAUCUACAAUCUUUGUUAUUUUCAAAGCCAUAAGAUCCGUCUAAACACAUGCCUCACUCAAGAGGAAAAUCUGAGUCUAUAGCAGCGACAUUCAUGUCAUUGAUAUCUGCGGACCCAUAGUAGGUACCAAAGAAUAUACAAAAGAAUGUGUAAAUUCAUGAAUAAUACAAUAUGAUUAUUAAUGAAUGAAUGAUAUGGAAGAAAAUCUAAAGGAAUAAAAUAAUCAGAAAUAAUUAUUCAAAAAGAAUGAAAUAACAUUGGCUCAAAAGUGAUAGCAAAGAUGUAUUUCAUUAAAAUAACAAUGUUCAGACAUGAGCCUAUUUCACAAAAGAAAUUUCUAUCAUUUUUAGGCUAAAAAAAACAAAAAUGUUCUGAACAUUACUUUAAAAAGCUCUAGAGACUAUAGGGUUUUCUUCCGCAGUCGAAUUGCUUAGAACACUUCCACGUUUAUAAGGGCGGAUAUCUAACAAGGUCCCUUCUUCAGUUGCUUGUGCAUUGCAUUCACUCCACUUAUCUAUUAUGAUUGGGUAGUGGAUUUUCCGCAUUGGAGGAAUCAUCGAAUUUAACGACGCCCAUACUGAUAAGCCUUUCAAUCAGUUUUUUAAAGGCAAUGCAGUUUUCUAUGGAAUGCCCCGUAUUUCCCACAUGAUAUUCGCAUUGUGCAUUUGUGUCGUGCCAUCUGGGGUAUGGAGGCUGUGGAGGCUUUGUGUAGAGAGGGGAAACAAUGCGCGCAUUGAAUAAGAUUUAAUACAGCUCCUUAUAUGACAUCAUAAUUGGCGUGAAUUGGAGGUUCUCAGUGCCUUGUUUCACAUAAGGUUCUUGUCUUGAUGAACCUUGUUGACUAGCGACCACUUUACCUGGAUGACUUACUGACCUUGAGUAACCUGUGUUGUUCACCUUAUUUUCUCUUCUCCUUGGGGUUGACCUCUUAUCACUCUCUUCCACCUCAAUUUUUCCGGCUCUUAUAGCACUUUCAAUCAUUUCACCGCUCAUGACUAUGUCAGAAAAACUUUUUGUAGCACUUCCUAACAUGUGCGUAAUGAACGGGGCCUUCAGCGUAUUGAUGAAGAGCAUUGUCGUCUCUUUCUCCAAGAAGGGUGGCUGAACCUGGACUGCAACUUCCCUCCACCUCUGUGCAUACUGCCUAAAACUUUCGCUCGAUUUCUUUUCCAAAUUUUGCAAAGUGAUUCUAUCGGGAACCAUAUCCGUCAUAUGACUGUAUUGUUUCAUAAAUGCCUGUGCUAGGUUCCUCUAUGAACCAAUCUCGGUACGGCUCAACUGAUUGUACCAUUUCGACGCAGCUCCAAUGAGGCUAUCCUGAAAACAAUGUAUCAAUAGCUGAUCAUUGUUAAUAUACCCAGUCAUUCUCCUACAGAACAUGGUGAUAUGGGCUUCUGGGCAGCUAGUCCCACUAUAUUCCUCGAAUUCAGGCAUCUUAAACUUGUGAGGGAGUACUAAGUCUGGAACCAAGCUCAGAUCUUUCGCAUCGAUUCCAUGGUGACUAUUGGCGCUUUUCAGGGCUUUGAAUUUUUCCUUCAACCAUUUACACCUGUCCUCCCAUUGUUUUGACAGUUCGACGUUUGCCUUCUCUUUUUCAGCCAUUUCAUCGAAAUCAGGAAUAACAAGAUUCACUAGGUUAUCUCUAGGAUUAGAACCUGAUCCAGCCUGAAAGUUCAUUGGCAUUGAAACAUCAGUUUGAAACCGCUGAGGCUCAAUUGAAAUAAAGGAUCUGCAUAGAGGUACCUCGGUCUGAAUCUGCGCAUACAGAGGUGUAAAGCCUAGAGGGUAGAUAGGUCUAUCCUUGUCUUCUCCUUCAUCUUUAACCAUAGGACCCUUUCCAUUAUUUACACCUUUAGUCAGUAGGUGGGUCAAUUCAGCCAUCGCAUCUUUUUGAGCCUUGAUCAGUUUUUCCGUCAUGUCUUCUUGAAUUUUAUUUAGCUGCUCUUGCAUUUGUACUUGUAACCGUUCUUGCAUAUCCUUUUGCAUUUGCUCCAAUUUCUCUAAUCUUUGAUCCAUUUCCUUAGUCUUUCAACGAGUACCGUAUUGAUGCUUAAUGGGUGAGCUUUUGUCGGUUUCCAAAUUAGCUGAAAUAAAUUUUCUCAAUUACACCCUUUAAAUGGACUUUAAUGCAUGUAAUGCGAAUGCAUGAAAUGUAUGCCUAAAGAGACAUUGAUUUUGAUUCAAUUACAUUUAGGAAACUUUUCUAGAAAGCAAAUUCCUUUACAGAAAAUGGAUACAUGUACGGCCUCACCCUCAUAUUCCAAGAAACAACAUCUAUCUUUUUCUUCAUCUGCAUGUUUGAGGUAAUAUCGCCAAUAGAUGCCAUUGCUAGCUCCUUCUCUUGAUCUUGGUUGCAAUCCAUCAUUUACCCGUCUUUGUAAAGCUCGUCAGCUUCUUUAAGGGAGUUGGAAUGUCGAAGGCUCUUAGACAAUCACCUGGAAUCCUCAGGCUACGAAGCAAGGUCACGAACUCUUCCAUGUGUUUUUUUAGAAUAUAUUAAGGUAGCCGUAUUGUUUUCCACUUUAUCAAGGAAUCCGUAUUCCAUGACAAGCUUUCUAAUUGAGCAAUUGGAUUUGAAUCAAUAUCUCUUUCCUAAGAUGUGAAUGCAAUGCAAUUACAAUCAAAACACAACAAGAGGGGUUAGUACCAAAUAGAAGUAAACAAGGAAGACAAAAGUACCCAAUCAGGUGACCACUAGGGGUUUGGAGUGGCUCUAUCUAGGUUAAGUUCCUAAGUCCACUAUAUGAGGUUUGGUUCUAAAGUCAAGGUACCCGAACCCGCAGAUUCCUCGAUCCUCACCCAUUAUAGGCUCAUACAGACCGGUUCGGUUCAGGGGAAUACAUUUCCCUAUGGCUGCACGGAGAUGAAAAUCUCAUGAAGACAUAGGUACGGAUGUAUUCCGAAAGUGAUCCACUAUCCUGCACGGAGGUGAAAACCUCACGAAGCAGUAGUUUCUCACUCCCAUUUAAAAGGGAAAGACCUACAGUCUUAUGCAAUAUGAUGCCAAGGUAUAAAAUAGUAAUUAUACAAACAAAUGCAAAGAAAGGAUCGAAAAUUUUCAAAUCAAAUUUUCAAUUUUCGAUAAUAAGACAAGAAACAAUCAAUUUUACGGCUUGACUCUCUAAAUGCAUCCCCAGUGGAGUCGCCAAGCUGUCGAAACCAUUUUUUUUAAAUUUGAAAAACGGUUUAGGGAGUCGAUUGAGGUGUGAUCGGAUCACCUUGAAAAUUAUUUUAGGUCUGUGAAAUUUUUGGAGAAAACAGGUUCGGGAGUCGAUUACACACGAGGAAGGGUUAACACCCUCGUGACGCCCAAAAUUGGUACCGAUUUGAUUGUUUAAUGUCUUAAUGUCGAAAUUUUGAAAAGAUUUUAAAAUACGAUCCUUUUAUUUUGAAUGAAUUGGAAGAUAAGGCUCAUUUAUUUUAAAGAAAUAAAUUGUUACACUUAGUAAGUUAGAGUGCAACAUUUCAAAUCCUUCAAAUUAAGCUUGUCCUUUGAGUUUUAAAACCUAUGCGUUUUGAGAAGGAUAUCCGAUUAUUUGGGUCCAAUGAGAAAAUCAAAACCCAAUAAAUUAGGGUUCGAUUUCACAAAAUUCCUAAAUAUCGAACAUUGCCUUUUAUUUUUAAAAUCCUCGUCUCGAGAAAAUAACAUGUCAUAUCCAAUGCGUUAGGACACAACGUGUCGAAUUCCCGAGAAUGGGUUUUUAUUUGAAAUUUGUAUGUUUUCAAAAAAUCUUGAUUAUUUAGAUUCAACGAGAAAAAUAAAAACCCAAUACGUUAGGGCUCAAUUCUCCCGAGGAUUCUAAAUUUUGGGUAUUUCCUUUAUUUUAAAAACGAGAUAACAAAAUAUCAUAUCCAGUAAGUUAGGAUCCAACAUUUUGGAAUCUUAAGAAUUUUAUUCUUAAAAACAUAUGGUUUAAAUAAAAUGAACACUUGAUUAUCUAAAUGCAUCCAAAAAAAUUGAAACCCAGUAAGUUAGGGCACAAUUUUCUCGGGAACUAUGAAUACCAAGCCUUUUUAGAAAUUAUGAAAUAGAACGAUUAUAAUGCUUUAAUGAAAUGCAAUUUUUACAAACAAUAUAAUAAAAUAUCAAUAUACAAAUCAAAUGGUGAAUAGCAAGCUAAAUUUACAAUUUGGAGCAACCAAACAUAUAAUACAUCAACAUUGAUAAUCAAAUAAACUAAUAAUCAAUCUUACAAAUAACGAAAUGAGAAUAAUUAAUAUAAAGAUAAUUUAAUCACAAGUAAACCACUUAAAAUAAUCGAAAUGAAUAAAAAAUUUGAAAACAAAAAUAAAAUUUUGUAAAUUACAAGUUAUGAUGCAUUUUAUACACAUAUACAUGUAUUAAAAUAAUUCCAUAUAAACUAUACAUAUAAGUAUAAUAAUCACGAUAUAUCAUGGUGAAAAUAAAAUUUGGGACUAUAUUCUAAAAUACAUUAUUGAUAAAUAUAAAGUAAUAUAUCAAAUUCUAGAAAUAUAUUAAGUGUGAUAAAAUAAAUAAUAAUGUAUCAAAUUUUAAAAAAAGGAGUAUAUGUAAAGAAUUUAAAAUCGAUGUCAAUGAAUUUAAAACAUAUUGAUAAUAAUUAGUAAGAAUAAAGUAUUAUAUUUUAGAAAUCAUAUUAAUAAUAAGUUUAAAAAUAUUAAGUCAAUGUUAAAAUAAUAUUAAUAAUUAAAAUAACAAUAAAAUUUUUAAUAAACAUACAGUAGUUUCAAAAUAUUAGUAUAUAAUAACUUUAAAAUACAAAAUACAACCCAAAAUAAUAACUUUAUUACAUUAAAAUAAUAUAAUAAUAAUUUAAAAUACUAUCAAAAAUAAAUAUUAUAAAGAAUAUUAGAUAUUAUAAUACAUGAAAAUAGAAUUAAUCAUAAUUUAAAAAAACAUUGAAUUUUUUAAAAAACAAAUCAGUAUUUAAUUAAAACCUGUGUCAAAAUUGAAGGACUAAAUUCGCAAUUAAACACAAACAUCGAAAUAAUCCCAAACAAUAGCAAAAGUGACACUGUUUGAACUUGGAUCUAAAUGAAUACAGAAUUAAAUAGGUGGUAAAAAUUAAGGAAAAUGGAAAGAAAUCCGAUUGAAACUAAGCAAAACAUGAAAGGACUCUAAGCGCAAAUAAGCUAAAAAGUCAGAACACGCGGAUCCUCCACGGGUGAGGUCACCGCGCGGGUUGCUGAAACUAAGUGGCUUAAACGGCACCAUUUUAAGUUUUACAGAACUAAAAAAAAAUAAAUAAAUGAAACCUAAAAAAAAUGAACUAAAAGAAACCCUAGCCCUCAUUUACUCAGAAACGCGCCGCAAUCCCUCAUCCCUUCCGAUCUCCGACUACCAAGAAGCGGACUAGGGUUCGAUGACUCAAUGGUUUCGACACACAGGUGAGCCCUUUCCCUCAUCGCCACCUUGAAAGCCAGAACGCUCCUGUCUCUCAUUCCGAUUCGGACAGAGUAGAGGAUGGCUCCAAUGGCGCGCGAAGGUACAAUUAUACCUUUAACUCUUUUCUUUUCUUUUAUAUCUAAAUGUAUACAAAAAAGAAAAAAAAUUAAAGAACAGAAAAACGCAAAGAAAAAGAAUCACCUUAAAAUCGAUCUUUUUAUUUCUCUUUUUUUUUUAUCUCCCCCCUUUUACAGAUUUCGUUAUAGCUUUAUAUAGCCAAAAGAAAAAUACAAAAAACGCCCAUCUUUCUGUUUUUUCUUCGCUAUUACAAUUUUUUUGCCCCCUUUUGUUGUGCUAUUUCUGCUUGUCUUUUGCUUGUUUAUUGCGCUCUUUGCGUGUUGAUUUUCUACAGGUGUACGGAGGCCGUACGAUGACGUGGAGGGCGGCGUACGUACGGAGGUGCGCGUGGGAGGAGGCCACGCAUGGGAGCUUGCGGCGCCAGGGGAUUUAGGGUUUGCUGCUGAUUUUUUGUGUUGAAAUUGUUUUGGGCUAUCGGGCUAGGGUGAGGUGUUUUUGGACUGACGUUUAGUGGGCUUGUAAUACUGGACUGUUAUAAUUUUAUAUUUGGGUUUUUAUUA
rnacentral:lncRNA from 1 species